rnacentral:misc_RNA from 1 species
CCCCGCUUUCCGUUCUCGACCUUUCGGUCGUCACCACCGGCACCAAACCUUCCCAGUCGCUGCGCAACAGCAUCGAUCUGGCGAAGCAUGCCGACCGCCUCGGCUACACGCGCUNNNNNNNNNNNCUCGGUUGCGAGCCCCGCGCCCGAGAUCAUGAUCGGGCAGAUCGCAGCGGCGACGCAGCGCAUCCGUGUCGGCUCCGGCGGCGUGAUGCUGCCGAACCA